GAACUUUCCAAGAAUCGGUGUGAAAUCAUAAUCUGUAGUAAAAUUGAAGAAUUGUAUAAAUUUAAAGAGGUAUGGCAGAAAACAGCCAUCAAUAUAUAUAUGAAAAAACAAAUCGUAUUUCGGAAAUAUUCAUUUGUCCCGUAUUUGUACAAAAUACGUGUUUUGUGUAGUAAAAUUCGUAGUAAAAUGUCUCACGUGAUCAAACUUCAUUCAUGAGACUGGCUGAAUUGGAAAAUGUAUUAUGGAUGAUGUUGUCACGUGAUUUUAUGCUAUCUUCCAUACACAGUAAUCUCGCUGACCUGAACCUAUUCUUAGACACGUAGGACGCACACACUAGCGGAGCGAUACGCAUAGCAACUCGCCAUGUACCGCUUAAUUUCUUUCCCUUACUUGUAGCACCAAGGAAUGGUACGUUUUCCUGUUGAGGUAAGAGGCCUUGUGUUCACUCUGAGCUGCAAUUGAUAUGUGGGUGCCAUAAAUGGCCCUAACAACUCCUCGGAAUCCUUUUACUUUAUGGCAUUGUUCCUGAAUUAACUAUAGUCUACGAUAACAAUAUACUAUUUACAUAAAAUAUAUGCGAAGGGUGCUAUUUAGAAAGAAAUUAAUUCAGAUAAGUAGAAAACAUUACGUAUAAGCAACAAAGUAUUAUACAUAUGAAAGAGUCGCAUAUUUCUUUUCAUUUGACAUGAAUAUUAAAAAUGUAAACAAUUCAAAAGCAAUUUUCAAAUGCCUAUUUUGAUCCGUUUCCUUUAGUGUCAAACUUCGAUGGUCGUACAUGUACGUUCUAUGAACACUGAUAGCUGUACAUCGAACAGAGCAGUCUACAUCGUCGAUAUUUCCCACAGAUGAUCCUGAUUAACUUCAACUAGCCGAAGACAAUAUCAGUGGAGGAGGACAAAAGAGGCUAUCUAUAUUGAUUUUGGACAAAAAUGUUGGAGAGAGCAGUUUUGAAUGAACAUUUUGUAGUGCUGGAGACAACAGCUGUUGGGAGCUUGUUCCACUCAACGAUGGUUCGGGGAAAGAAGAGUUGUUUUCUUGCAGAUUUUUAAGCUGAAUAUGUCAAAGUGUAUAUGAUACUGUAAAGUCCAAAUGGAAAGGUCCUUAAACAAAAUAUAUUACAGCACCAAAAUAAUCAAUACAUAAAGGAAUAAUGUACGGUUAUUACCAAAUGGCCAGGCGAUGAAUUCUUUCAUCAAAACCAUGACAGCGUCGAUAACACAUGCUUUUGCCCUAGAGACGCUACUAACUGUGAUUUUGAACCGAUCGGCUAUUUCCCGAUGCGAAUCCUUAUUUGCCAUGUACCACGCAAUUACCAAAUCUGUUUCUCUAGUUUAAUGGGUUCACGACCUUGCUCGUGAUUCAAAGGAACUUUGUGGCAUAAAUCAAAUUUAUUAAUACUGUAAUGAACAAGUAUAGUAGAGUUAACCAUGUUCGUGUUUAUAUGUGUAUGUUAUGUAUGAUCUGUAAAUAAACCACGUGUAAUCAUUGUCA